UACGUAGGGGGCUAGCGUUGUCCGGAAUCAUUGGGCGUAAAGAGCGUGUAGGCGGCCCGGUAAGUCCGCUGUAAAAGUCAAAGGCUCAACCUUUGAAUGUCAGUGGAUACUGCCGGGCUAGAGUCCGGAAGAGGCGAGUGGAACUCCUGGUGUAGCGGUGGAAUGCGCAGAUAUCAGGAAGAACACCAACGGCGAAGGCAGCUCGCUGGGACGGUACUGACGCUCAUGCACGAAAGCGUGGGGAGCAAACAGG
rnacentral:rRNA from 1 species